rnacentral:rRNA from 1 species
GAUCCUGGCUCAGGAUGAACGCUGGCGGCGUGCCUAAUACAUGCAAGUCGAGCGAACGGACGAGAAGCUUGCUUCUCUGAUGUUAGCGGCGGACGGGUGAGUAACACGUGGAUAACCUACCUAUAAGACUGGGAUAACUUCGGGAAACCGGAGCUAAUACCGGAUAAUAUUUUGAACCGCAUGGUUCAAAAGUGAAAGACGGUCUUGCUGUCACUUAUAGAUGGAUCCGCGCUGCAUUAGCUAGUUGGUAAGGUAACGGCUUACCAAGGCAACGAUGCAUAGCCGACCUGAGAGGGUGAUCGGCCACACUGGAACUGAGACACGGUCCAGACUCCUACGGGAGGCAGCAGUAGGGAAUCUUCCGCAAUGGGCGAAAGCCUGACGGAGCAACGCCGCGUGAGUGAUGAAGGUCUUCGGAUCGUAAAACUCUGU